UCUUAGAUAUAAACUGGCCCUUAUCCUACCAGAGUACUACGAACAUUAAGUUUAAAACUCAAAGAGCUUGGCGGUGCUUUAGACUCCUCAGGGGAACCUGUCUCGUAAUCGACAGUCCACGAACCAACCUCACCCUUUCUUGCACCCAGUAUGUAUACCGUCGUCGUCAGGUAACUUUUAAAAAUAUAGAAGUUAGCAACCAAAUCCAUCAAUUUUCACGUCAGAUCAAGGUGCAGCCUAUGAAAAGGAGUAGAUGGGUUACAAUUAAGAUUCAUAAUUACGGAUUUAAUUCCUAACAGAUUUCUGAAGGCGGACUUGAAAGUAAAGCCCAGUAGCUAAAUGCCUUGAAUCCAGCUCUGAAGCG
rnacentral:rRNA from 1 species